rnacentral:rRNA from 1 species
AGCGAACGCUGGCGGUAUGCUUAACACAUGCAAGUCGAGCGCGAAAGUGACUUCGGUCAUAAGUAGAGCGGCGGACGGGUGAGUAACACGUGGAUAAUCUGCCUUUAGGACUGGGAUAACCCUGGGAAACUAGGGCUAAUACCGGAUAAGACCACAGGUUCCAUGGAACCAGGGGUAAAAGGCGGCCUUCGGGCUGUCGCCGAAAGAUGAGUCCGCGUCCCAUCAGGUGGUUGGUGAGGUAACGGCUCACCAAGCCGAAGACGGGUAGCCGACCUUAGCGGGUGAUCGGCCACACGGGGGACUGAGACACC